AAGGGAGCGUAGGCGGAUGUUUAAGUUGGAUGUUUAAAACCGGGGCCUAACCUCGGAGCGGCAUCCAAAACUGGGCAUCUUGAAUAGGUCAGAGGCUGGUGGAAUUGGAGGUGUAGCGGUGGAAUGCGUAGAGAUCUCCAAGAACACCUAUUGCGAAGGCAGCCAGCUGGGACCAUAUUGACGCUGAGGCUCGAAAGCAUGGGGAGCAAACAGGAUUAGAUACCCUGGUAGUCCAUGCCGUAAACGAUGAACACUAGGUUUUGGGCUCGUCAACGGUCCAGAGCCGCAGCUAACGCGUUAAGUGUUCCGCCUGGGGAAUACGGUCGCAAGACUGAAACUCAAAGGAAUUGACGGGGGCCCGCACAAGCGGUGGAGCAUGUGGUUUAAUUCGACGCAACGCGCAGAACCUUACCAGGACUUGACAUGGAAGUGACCGGACGAGAGAUCGUCCUUCUCCCGCAAGGGAGCACUUCACACAGGUGCUGCAUGGCUGUCGUCAGCUCGUGUCGUGAGAUGUUGGGUUAAGUCCCGCAACGAGCGCAACCCUCGUUUCUAGUUGCCAUCAUUUAGUUGGGCACUCUAGAGAGACUGCCGCGAAUAACGCGGAGGAAGGUGGGGACGACGUCAAGUCAUCAUGGCCCUUACGUCCUGGGCUACACACGUGCUACAAUGGGCGUUACAGAGGGUCGCAAUAGCGUAAGCUGGAGCCAAUCCCCAAAAACGUCCUCAGUUCAGAUCGAGGUCUGCAACCCGACCUCGUGAAAGGUGGAAUCGCUAGUAAUCGCGGAUCAGAACGCUGCGAUGAAUACGUUCCCGGG
rnacentral:rRNA from 1 species